CAAACCGGAACUUCAAAUGUCAAACAAACUGAAUCAAUCAAGAAGGGCAUUAUAAUACCAAAGAGAGGAACCUGAACUCUCCGUUUCUGCAACUUUCUAGUCCUCGUACUUCGACCCAUUCUAGAAGAACAAUCAAAUUAUCAAUAUCUCUACUCUUCACCCCCCCCCCUCCUCUCUUUUGCAGAGUUGGAGGAAGCGUAUGGCGCAACUGAAAACCUGUGAAGCCUUCGUUUCUAAAUGGGUCGAAGGAAGAGCAAUUUAAAGCCUUUCUGAAAAUACCUUUUCACGAAACGUUACCAAGAAAAGGUUGUGGGCUGAUAUCUGGGGAGUUUGCUUAUACUCCCAAAAGCGACCUGAACCAUAGGG